rnacentral:rRNA from 1 species
UGAGGUGGGAUCCCGGCCCUUCGGGUCGCCGGGCGCACCACCGGCCCGUCUCGCCCGCACCGUCGGGGAGGUGGCGCAUGAGCGCGUGCGAUAGGACCCGAAAGAUGGUGAACUAUGCCUGGGCAGGGC